UGCAGUUAUAAUCGUUGUUAACUGUCGCCGGAGGGAACCAAAAUAAGGCCGUUUUUUUUCUGCGUAGAAGAAUGGGAAGAGUAGCAAGAGCCAGCAAUGUUACUGUAAAUUGACACGAAGCGUAAGAAGGCCUAUGAGAUUGACCAAAAAUCGUCCCACGAUCGACGCGUUGGACCUGCCUGCUUUACAUUAUGCCACAUAACCAGAAGUAAUCCAAGGCAACCGCAUAAAAGAGAAAACAGCUUUAUACUGUGCAGCAGAGUCCUUAAUCACAACAGCCUGUACAUGUGAAGA